CAAGCCCUACUUCCUGUCUGGGGGAGUCACACAGGAACCCAGGGACUAUGUAUAUGAGCUGCCAGACACUCCAAGACACUGAACGCUCAGCCUGAGGCACAACAAAACACACUUGUGCAGGGGAAUCCGUGCCACAUGCCGCUCUCCAGCCUGCUCUGGCUCUUCCUGGCCUCCGUCUUCUCUGGAUCCAGUAUGGCCCAGAAAGUUACUCAAGACCAGCCAACUGUAUCCAGUCAAGUGGGAGAGGAAGUCACUUUAAACUGUCGGUAUGAAGCACCUUGGAACACUAACUACCUUUUUUGGUAUAAACAGCCUCCCAGUGGAGAGAUGACUUUCCUUAUUCAUCAGGACACUUCUAAAACAAAUGCAAAGGAUGGUCGCUACUCUGUAAACUCCCGUAGAGGAGAGAAAUCCCUCAGCCUCACCAUUUCAGCCUUACAGCUGAAAGAUUCUGCUACAUACUUCUGUGCUCUCCGAGAUCUCACGGUGUUUGAAGUAAUAGGAAAAGCUGAACAAAAACCCCAGAGCUCAAUAAGAGAGAGCCCCCCUGCUACAGGACCCAAGCUGAAAUGCACACCUGCAGACCCCAGACAAGAAGGGGGCGUCCUGUGGUUGCUUCAUCUGUGGUCUGGAUGAGAGGAUUUCUUUCUAAAUAAAAGCUCCUUCUAUGUCAUUUGGGAGCAGAUGUCUAGACAACUUGCUAUUACAUUUUCAGUCCUGAAUUUCUGACUUUAAAUCAAUUAUACAGGACAUAUGUAAAUGUGUCUAAAGUUGAAAGCUUGCCCCAAAAUAAUUUAAAGUGGCAAUGUCACUUAGAUAUGCUCACAUCAGAAACCUGCAUCUAGUUAUCUGGAUUCAUCAUAAAAAUCAUUUCCUUAGUCCUUUCUUCUUAGGCUUUGUGUCUUUCUAGGACAUUUACUGUGUGGUCUUGUCUCUGGCUGGGCAACCAGAUGCAGAAGCCUGUUUUCUGGAGCAGAAUAUUCCAUAGAUCUAGGCUAUAGAAUGUUCCUCUACUGAAGACACUCGGGCAGGAUAAAUGGUGAUGAAUCUUUUGUGAAUAUCAUUGCUGAUCCUGUGGUUUCAGCUUGCCCAUAGGUCCAAGGGCUGCUGAAGCAAUUCUGACUGAACAGUCUGGGUGGUGAUGAGAAAGGAGGAGGAUGCAGUCAGGCACCUCGAGGUUCUGUCUGGGGAUGUGUGGAGAGAAUGAACACUCUGUACAGAGAUCAGUUUCUAUGUGUGACCCUGUCUUCCUGAACAGGACUGAGCAGCCCCUGGAGUGUGGAACCUGGUCCGCCGUCUCUGCAUGCUCAGGAAGGAGAGAGCACCAAUUUCACAUGCAAUUUCCCUUUAAGCUCUUUCUAUGCUCUACACUGGUACAGAGGGGGACCUGCUCAAAGCCCCAAGAACCUCUUUGUAAUGACUUUAAAUGGGGGUGGGAAGGAGGAAAGAUGAGCCUGAGUCUGUCUGAAUACAAAGGAGGGUCACAGCUGCAUGUGCAUCACAGGAUCCCAGCCUGAAGACUCAGCCAUUGACCUUUAUGCCUCCACUCAGGGCUCCCCAGGCACCUGCAGCCCCACCCAGACCCCUGCCUGGAGCUGCUCUGGUGCCAGCUGAUGCAGAACCAUGUGUGUGGUGGGAGGGAAAAAAUUCAAUGCAUCUCAGUGUUUUCCAUAAUCAGGGGAAAUGCAGACAUAGACAAACAGGCAUUCCAGUCACUGUAGUUCCCUCAACUAACUGGAUGUUACUAAAGGUCACUAACCUUGACUCCCAUCAGUAUACUGGCUACAUCACUGAGUCAGAUUCCUGGCUUCCUCCUUUGCCAUGAUUCCAAGUUACUUAAUGGUUAGGUUACUCAAACCGACCUAAAAGUAUCUGGUUACUAGGAUAAUAGUUAAACCUCAUUGCUUCUACAUCCUAAGAGCUAGUUCUUCAAUAGCGUGUCUUCACAAGAACAUGUGCUAUACCCUCUCAUGCACCUGGCAUGGAAAUCUGCAAGUUUCAUACCAGAAUAAUUGAUUCUGCCUCAUUCAACUCAUUGCGGAUUUGGGUUUUGGUUUAGUUCAAUCUUCCCAGUACAUGGAUCUGCAUUUCAUUUCUUCUUAUAUGUGACUCUUUGCAUUUUUAAAUAUCACUUUUGAUAUCUGAUUAAUUGGGGAAGUUCACUACAAACUUGGUCCCUCCUUCAGUUUUGUGAUUGUGAUGUUGAAGCAACUGAACUCUAGGAUCUAAGUUUCUUUGUUUAUAAUUUCCAGGUGAUGAGUCGGGUCGAAUAUCUGGGCACACUUUUUGUAGAUUUCCAGGUAACCCAUAAGUUUUAUACCCCACUGUUACUCCUGAGGCCUCUAAUUCUAGAGAAUUUCUGAGUUUUGUCUACAUGAAUUAACUUGCUUUUGGUCUUUAUCUAAUAGCUUAAGUUUCCGUUUUCUCCCAACAUCUACAUUAGUAAGUAGUUUCCAGAUUCUAUCCAGCUUCCUAAAUUAUGUUGCCAUUGUGUUCUCUCCACACCAGCACAUCAAUCUCUUUUUUGUUGAUUCAUUUUUUUAAAAAUAUUAUUACUAUCAUCAUCUCACUUAUAGGAUAAAAUAACGCCUGCUAUAAAAACUUCAUUGCGGAGCUCCCGUUGUGGCGCAGUGGUUACCCAAUCUGACUGGGAACCAUGAGGUUGCGGGUUCCAUCCCUGGCCUUGAUCAGUGGGUUAAGGAUCUGGCAUUGCCAUGAGCUGUGGUGUAAGUCACAGAUGCGGUUCGGAUCCUGCGUUGCUGUGGCUGUGGUAUAGGUCGGUGGCUACAGCACCGAUUAGACCCCUAGCCUGGGAACCUCCAUAUGCCACAUGUGUAGCCCUGGAAAAG